rnacentral:rRNA from 1 species
UACGGAGGAUGCAAGCGUUAUCCGGAAUGAUUGGGCGUAAAGCGUCCGCAGGUGGUUGUGUGUGUCUAUUGUCAAAGCAUCAUGCUUAACAUGAUAAAGGCAGUAGAAACUACACGACUAGAGUGCGUUCGGGGCAGAGGGAAUUCCUGGUGUAGCGGCGAAAUGCGUAGAGAGCAGGAAGAACACAGGUGGCGAAAGCGCUCUGCUAGGCCGCAACUGACACUGAGGGACGAAAGCUAGGGGAGCGAAUGGG